UACGGAGGAGGCAAGCGUUAUCCGGAAUUAUUGGGCGUAAAGCGUCCGUAGGUGGCUCUUCAAGUCUGCUGUCAAAGAGUGGGGCUUAACUCCAGAAAGGCAGUGGAAACUGAAAGGCUAGAGUAUGGUAGGGGCAGAGGGAAUUCCUGGUGUAGCGGUGAAAUGCGUAGAGAUCAGGAAGAACAUCGGUGGCGAAGGCGCUCUGCUGGACCAUAACUGACACUCAGGGACGAAAGCUAGGGGAGCGAAUGGG
rnacentral:rRNA from 1 species